CUGGCCCUGGUUUUUAGGGGAGAUCAAUCUGGCAUCUUAUAGAAGAUGCUGAUGUUCCCUUUAAACCUCCCUGUUCUCUUUCCCAUGCAGACACCACAGCGGCGCUGUCUGUAUUUACACUGCAGAACGGAGUCUGGGUUUCCCCUGGCCAGGCUGCUGUCCUGCCCAUCUCCCUCCAAUUCACAAACUCGGCGUGGGAGUUCUACCAUGUCAAGUGGUAUUUCAUGACAGGGAAUCGUCCCAUCCUGGUCUAUAUGGUGGACAGCUGCACUAGCUCCCUUGAGUCACAGGAGCGCACCUGCCAGCACAGCAUGGAACUGGCAGAUUUUUAUCAGCAGCGGGCAACUCUCUGCUUCCACAACGCUUCCCUGGUGCUCCUGGGUGUGCAGCCUGAGGAUGCUGGGAUGUACCGGGUAAUAGUGCGAGGCUUAGAUGUGUCAGCAGAUGCAACAGUGAACCUGACAGUGGUGGAAGACUUAUCUGGAGGAAGAGCAAAGGGAAAGGGAAACUGCAUGAUGUCCAGUGCCACCCAGCUAGGAGUAGCUUUCCUGGCUUUCUGCCUUUUAGAGCGGUUAGUCAGAGAGGUAAGUGAUUGCUGUUGCUGCUGUCGUAGUUUCUGGUUUUCCAAUCCUUAGUGAGAUACAUUAGAAGGGAUCCAAAGAGUACAUGAAGUCUGCAGGUGCCAUAGGUGUAUUGCAAUCAAGACCUCUUGCCUGGGAGGCACAUUAAAUCAGUUUUAUGCAUCAGGACCCUGGAUUUUUGAAGCAAGGAAUCUGGAUUUAUCCAGUACUGCUUACUCCCACUACCUAUAUCCAAGCCCUCUCAGCAUCACUGCACCCCUGGUCCAUUACUGCCCUCCAUUGCAACUGUAUGCACAUUGUUUAAUAGACCCCAUUGAAUCAGAGACCUAGUUAUUUUGGAUGAGUUUGGCAUCUCUAUUUUGUUUAGAUUAUGGCUUGACUCAUGCUCAUGUUACCAUGGGAGAGAUCUGAAUUCAAGUCCAGGUUCAGAGCAUCUGGACUGCAGAGACCGGGGGCGA
rnacentral:lncRNA from 1 species